rnacentral:rRNA from 1 species
GUGCCAGCCGCCGCGGUAAUACCGGCAGCCCGAGUGAUGGCCGAUAUUAUUGGGCCUAAAGCGUCCGUAGCUGGCUGAACAAGUCCGUCGGGAAAUCCACUUGCUUAACACGUGGGCGUCCGGCGGAAACUGUACGGCUUGGGACCGGAGGGCCCGAGGGGUACGUUCGGGGUAGGAGUGAAAUCCUGUAAUCCUGGACGGACCGCCGGUGGCGAAAGCGCCUCGGGAAGACGGACCCGACAGUGAGGGACGAAAGCUGGGAUCUCGAACCGGAUUAGAUACCCGGGUAGUCC